rnacentral:lncRNA from 1 species
GAGUAGCUGGGACUAUAGGCACCCGCCACCACGCCCGGCUAAUUUUUUGUAUUCACAGUACAGACGGGGUUUCACCGUGUUAGCCAGGAUGGUUUCGAUCUCCUGACCUCGUGAUCCGCCCGCCUCUGCCUCCCAAAGUGCUGGGAUUACAGGCGUGAGCCACCGCGCCCGGUGGAAAGGACACUUUUUUACAGUAUGAGCACUGAAACAAAAAGGCAAAGCAAGGUCUGUUCACCUUCAGCUGAGAACGUGAGGAUUGGUUCAGGAGUACAUGCGCAGGUUUGUCAUAUAAGCAAAUUAUGUGGCACAGAAGUUUGGUGUAUGGAUUAUUUCAUCACCCAGGCCGUUUCUCAGCGUUGGAUGUGCAAGCAGUUUUGAGAGAUGAAGUCAUGACUUCAAGACAAAAAAACAGGUUUGCUUAUUUUGCUACAAACCAAUAAGUUCUUCAGCCAUGCUGCAAAUCCACUGUGUAUCCAGUUCCCAUCUGCGGCCCGCACAUCAUCCCCAUGGGACUUGAGAGCAAGAGGAUCCCACGCAAAUCAUGUUGCUUGCUAUGCUCCUGCUGCCUGGAAUGCAUAUGUGAUGGCUGGAAUGCUAGCUCUAAUUUUGGAUCAUGAGGAAAAGUGCCACACCAUUGGAGAUGAGGGAUGAGCUGGAAGGGCCUGUGGCAGGGGAUCAUGUCCUGGGACAUACCAAGAGAGCAGCUUCUAGAGGACUGAUUAUCAGAGAGGAACUGGAAUGUGAAAAGACGUCUAACUAACCAUUAUUAAUGAUUCACUUGUAAUUUUCACUAAUGGAUGACCCACAUGAUUUCCUCUUCAAAGAAUUUGUCCAAAGCCACCCAUUUAAAAAAGAAAAGAAUGGAGGAUGGAAUCUCAUAAGUGAUCUUACCAUUUACAAAGCACAGUGUGAUUAAUCAAUUCUCCUUUAUAUUUUAGUGCCUACCGUGUUUCUUAAUUUGAUGGAGAAGCCUUCUUAUAAACACUCUUAGAAAAGC